GUCUUUUUAGACAUGUAAGUUCUCAAAAAACUUACCUUCAAUGCACUCUUCCAUAAGAAGCUACUGGAGGAUGCUUUCUACCAAGAUAAGGUAGUAAGCCAAAACAGAGGGAGAGCUGGGAUCCAGUACACAUGGAAUCCAACUGAGGAGAGAGGUAAAGGGAAUUCUCAGUCGUGGCUGAUAAAUAAAUGAACAGCAAUAGGAUAUAUUGGAGUAAAUGAGGAAGCCAUUUGGCUUAAAACUAACUUGGCCUGACCUUGCUUUUCCAAAAGAGCCUGACGUGGCCUGUUGAGCGUGCAUUGUACAUCUGCUUUAAACAUUUAUAGUGUCCCAAAGACAAGAAUGAUGUCCUUAAAGAUAGGGAAGUAAUUUCCCCCCAUAUCGGCAUUUCUUUAAAGAUAAGCAUUUCCUCCUGGAAACUAAACAUUAAAUACUGACCUGCUGUGCUCACCUUGUGACCACCGACCUGCUGUGCCAGCCAAGCAUCUCGUGACAGUAGUAAAACAGGUAUUCUGUCAUAAGUGAUGUAUACUCUUUGUUCCAAGAUGCUAUAUAACCAUUUGGUACACCCCACUUCUUUGGUGCCCUUUCUUCCUUGGGGAAGGAAGGCCCCAAGCUCCAGUCCUCAAGCUUGGCUCAUAAUAAACUCACCCCAAUUUUGACGUAUAGAUUGAUUAUGGAUUAUUUGCAUCAACAUGGUGAAGGGAAGCGCAAGAGGAAGCUGUGUGGCAGACCUAUAGCACAGAACUCUGUUUGGAUGGAGACCUUUGGGAGGGGCGUCUCCAAGAGAAAAAUAGAAUAGAUUUUCUCAUUUAUUUGACCUUGCUGAGAGGGGAUUCUACUCUUGUCCUGGGAAUUGUGGGUAUGAAUUAGUGAUAAGAUACAUUAAAAACUAAGCAAAUUUUAGAAACAAGAUAAUGUGUGACCCUUGAUUAAAUCUUCAAUUUAAAGUUUUUUAAAGACAUCACUGGAACAGUUGGGGAAAUUUGAGUAGGGACUAUGUAUUAGAAAAUAUUUUUGUGUCAAUGUUAAAUUUCCUAAGUAUAAUAAAAGUAUUGUGGUUAAGUAUAUUUGAAAGCACGGGUGAUAAAGAGAGACUGCCUAGGGAAAAAGAUUUUUCACCAAAAAAGGUGGGUCUAAAGAAAUGAAUACUUUCCAGGUGGGAGGAAGGGCACUCCAGGCCAAGGCAAUAAAACAUGCUGGAAGGCACAGGGUCAGGACAAAGCAUGACACUCUUCCAGUCAUUCAGCAAAUACUGGAUGAGGGCCCAUGAUGUGUGGGACACAGUCCUUACACUGUCCUCAGCACUGAGAUUACGGCAGAAAAUGAAGAGACCAGCCUCCCCACCUUUCGGGGUGACAUUCUGGCGGUGGAUGUGGAAGGAGGGAGGGAAGGGGCAGAGAAGAACAGUGGCGAGCCUUCAGGCAGAGCAAACUGCCUGCAGAAACGUCCUGAGGGGAAGCACACCCAGGUCUGUCAGAAGAACAUCUGGGAAGCCAGCGUGGGUGGAGGGGAGUGGCCAGGGAAGGAACAGCAGGAGAAGUUUCCAGAGUUCCUGAGAGGUCAGUUCAGGGGAGCUUUUAGGACGUGGUAUGGAUUUUGGCUUCUAUCCUGAAUUUAUUGAGUAAAGGAAUGAAAUGAGCUAAUUUAGGCGUUAAAAGGAUCACUGUGGCUUGUGUGUUGAGAAUAGACUACAGAGAAACAUGGGUACAAGCAGGGAAGCCAGUUCGGAGGCCACUGUGUCAUAGGUGCUGGUAGGUCAAGAAAGGUGAGGUGUGAGAAUUAACCAUUACACGGAGGCCAUGCUGACCUUGAGAAGAACAGGUUUGGUGGCAUGGCAAGGGCGAGACCCAACUUGAAUGGAUCCAUGAAAGAAUGGAAUGAGAGGAGGUGGAGGAAUGUCGAGGUGUUUGCUAUGGAGAGCCCAAAAAUGGAGUAGCAGCUGGAAGAGAUGUGAGAAAUGUGUUUUUUAAUUAGGCAGAAUACAGUUGUAUACUGAUGAAAAUAAUCCAUUGAUUGACCACUGUAUGAACUGAUUGAUAACUGAUCUUGGGCACAGGAAAAGGGGGCACCCUUAGCUAGAAACAUAGACAGUCCACCCACAGGAGAAACAGGCAGGAAAACAGAGUCGAUACUCUGCCCAGUGGCGGAUGGUGGGUGCCAUAGUGAUGAGAGCUGGAAGUUCUGUUCAUUCAGAUCACUUGUUGUUUUCUUAGGAAAACUGAAGGAGUUAGGAUGGGAGAGGCACUGGAGGUUCGAAGAAAUAAGGGCAGGUGUGAAAACUAGUUACCUAGGAGAGUGUGCAUGUUAUCCAGAGAGGGCAAACGUUCCAGGCACAUGUGUGGUUGUCAGACAGAAUAGCUCCACCUGGGGGUGGGCUCAUGCAUUUAGAGCAAGCCCAGUUGGCGCUAUGUUAUGCUGAGUGAGUUUAGAUUAGGAGCUGAGAGUUAUGCAAGGAGUGACUAUAAUGACUGAUCAUGGAGUUUAAACCAGACAUGCGGUCACCCACCACCCGGAAGCAGACCGAGCCUCACCUCAGGAGCAGCACUGCACGGGUGAGCUGAGAGAAGACCUAAAGUUGCCCUUUGCUUCAUUUUAAUACUAAAGUCUCCACCCCAAGAGGAGACUAAGCCUUACUACCAUAACAUGCCACGUAUGUGGAAGCAUGUUUUUCAACUGAGCCUGCGCAAGCUAAUACCCAUCUCUCCCUUUUGAAUAUUCGUUCCCCAUCCCAAAUAAAAGGCCCCUGCUGUCCUAUGCUUGGGGAGCCAUGCUUUGAGAAAUAAUUCCCUGUAGGCUCCUUAUUUGCAGCAAAUAAACUGUGUGUGACAACUACUUCUGGUGAAGGCUCUAAUUUCAACUCCCCAAGAAGUGGACCCACUUUGGUUCCGUAACAAAGGAACCAUGAGGCCUGGCUAUUAGAAGAUCAUCCACUUGGAUACUGAAAUCAGGAGUUGCUUCAGAGAGUGGCAGUGAGCCUGGAGAUAAGAAUCUUCGAAAAAUGAGGGGUCCAUAUAUGACUGCACUAUGGGUGAGCAGAAUGUGGUACAGUCUGAUAACAUAAGACUAAAAACAGGUGUAGGGGUAGAGAGGAGGAGAACUGGUCUGGAAGUAACCAGGAGGAGAAAGGAGACAUCCACCCUGCCUCCAGGGGCAGAGGUGGCAGGAGGCCUGUGAACUGCCAAGCUGGGGGCCCUGGAGGGAGCAGUGCCCCCAGGGAGAGUGGAGUUUCUAUGAGAGCAAGGAGGUGAAGGGAACACUUACAGAUGAGAGAGAAUAGAAGGAAUUUGCUUAGGAUGACCAAGGUUAGCAAUACCAAACAUCAAAACAAUGUCCAAGUCAUGCUGACAACUACAAAAUUAUCAAUACCCUUCAUUGUACUUUUAGAGCCAAAAUAUGCCUAGUAUCUAAACCUGUAACAAAGUCACAACACUACUUCUUAUUUUCCAAGCAGACCAUGAUCAAUAUAGUAUUCUAUAGGAACAUCUCCAUGUCCAGGCUGAUACCCCCUGACAAAGACCUGUGAACUACUGCAGAGGAUGAUGAUCCAGAAUCAUCCCUGAGGUGGAAGAGAGAUGCUGGGGGAGAGUGAGAGACCAGAGUCAAGAAUGACUCUCAAGCACUUGUGUCGUGGGGGCAGAGGGGUGAUCAUGCCAAUAAAGGGCAAGAAGACACAAAAGCUCAGUGAGAUGCAAGUGAAAUUUGAGAUGCCUGCAGGCUAACAGGUUGGGAUGUCCAGGAGGCACUAGAAAAGGAGUCUAGGACUCAGGAGGGUGAUGAGUCUGGAAAGAGAGAUUUCAGAGUCAUCAUACAGGUCUGUGGAAGCUGAAGGAGAGUGGGUGAAACUUCUCAGCAAGAACGUACAGUGCAGCCUUCUCAGUCUCGGGCCCCAGAGCUGAUGUAAUAGCAGCUCACCUGGCAGUGGCAGGCCCAUGCUAGUGCUAAAAUAGGGGACGCCAAGCUGAGCCAUACUGGAUCUUGAGGCAAAAGAAAAAACCAGUAAUACUCAUCCUGUCUGUACUGUUAAAUAGUAUCUCCCCAAAAUUCGUGUCCAUCCGGAGCCUCAGAAUGUGACCUUGUUUGGAAAUAAAGUGAGAUCAUACCAGAUUAAGAUAGAUGCUAAAUCCAAUGACUGAUGUCCUUAUAAGAAGAGAAGAAAGGCCGCCCUGUGGUGUAGCGGUUAAGUUCGCAUGCUCUGCUUCAGCAGCCUGGGGUUCAUGGGUUUGGAUUCCAGGCAUGGACCUACACAUGGCUCAUCAGUGAUGCUGUGGCAGCAUCCCACAUACAAAAUAGAAAAAGAUGGGCACAGAUGUGAAGAUGGAGGCAGAGACUGCAAUGAUGCAGCUACUAGCCCAGGAACACCAAAGACUGCGGCCACCACUGCCAGCAGCAAGGAGAGAGGCACAGGGUUCUCCCUGAGGGCCUCCAGCCCCCAGAACUGGGAGACCAUACAUUUCUGUUUUAAGCCACUCAGUUUAUGGUACUUUGUUACAGCAGCCCUAGGAAAGUAAUACACUGCCUUUAUUUAAAAUUUUGAUGUUUUAUUCUGGAUUGCUUGGCAUUAAUUUUAAUUUUUUAAAAUACUGCAUUAAAAUAUUUGUCUUGAUUACUGAGCUUUUUGAUGCCUCCUUAAAUCUUGCCACUGGAGCAAGUGCCUUGCUUGCUUCACCCUAAUCCAGGCCCUCAGGCACGCUUUCACCAUUUUUAUUGAGAUUCUAACAGACAAGCUCCUGCUCAGUCAGAC
ensembl:lncRNA